CCAGACUCCUACGGGAGGCAGCAGUGAGGAAUAUUGGUCAAUGGACGAGAGUCUGAACCAGCCAAGUAGCGUGAAGGAUGACUGCCCUAUGGGUUGUAAACUUCUUUUAUAUGGGAAUAAAACAGGGUAUGCAUACCCUCUUGUAUGUACCAUAUGAAUAAGGAUCGGCUAACUCCGUGCCAGCAGCCGCGGUAAUACGGAGGAUCCGAGCGUUAUCCGGAUUUAUUGGGUUUAAAGGGAGCGUAGGUGGAUUGUUAAGUCAGUUGUGAAAGUUUGCGGCUCAACCGUAAAAUUGCAGUUGAAACUGGCAGUCUUGAGUGGGCGAGAAGUAUGCGGAAUGCGUGGUGUAGCGGUGAAAUGCAUAGAUAUCACGCAGAACUCCGAUUGCGAAGGCAGCAUACCGGCGCCCAACUGACGCUGAAGCACGAAAGCGUGGGUAUCGAACAGGAUUAGAUACCCCGGUA
rnacentral:rRNA from 1 species